AUCGUGAAGGAGAUGGGGCAGGAUAGAGGUCGCAUGCCUCCGCAUCAUCCAUUGCUUGGAUGACCUUGCCCCACACAUUGUCCUCUCCAGUGCAGGCCUUUCCUUGUCGAUUGGCAUGAGGUGCUGACCAUGGGUUUAGAGAUGGUUGUUGCGCUCUCUCCCGAUAUAUGUAUGGUUGGUGAUGAAGUUCUCCAAUGCCAAAGAAACAUUGAGUUCUCCACUGCACACCAGAUAUCUACACCACCUUUCCUAUGAUUGGUCUGCUGCUAUUCUGAAGACUUAUCUGUUCUAUAUCAGAUGAGAUUAAAAUGUCUGUGUUUUGUUCAUUGGAAGGUCCAAGUUUUGAUAUUACAAAUCGUGAGUGCAAUAGUGUGCAAAAAAAAAAAGUUCCUAACUUGUUUCUUGUAAUGAUAAAGACUGUCUCCGGACCUUGGUUACUGAAUACCUGUUGGUGUGUUCUGCAUUUUUUUUCCAUGCGACGUAUUCUACUUUUCUACAGAAAUUCCAUGUCUCACUCUCCACCAGGUGAUGUGUAAGAUCUUCCUUACAGAAUUAUAGCUUUUUAGUUACAUAAUCAUCUCUAGCAGGUACAAAGAUAAAUAAC